GGGCCGGUAGUCCAGCCUGGUAGGACGCUGCCUUUACGAGGCAGAAGUCGCCGGUUCAAGUCCGGUCCGGCCCACCA
rnacentral:tRNA from 1 species